CAAGUGGUAAUAAAGUGUAAAAAGUAGUUUACGUACCUAAUUUGUCGUAUCAUACACGAUAAAGAGAAGAAACAGGCGAUCCAAAAAAUUACAGCUGAGCCAUCAGACUGCAGGUGGCGACCAGUUGGUCGAGAAAAAGUUAGUAACCGUCGAUUUCCGAAAAAAGUGAACGGCCAUCGAUGGGAUGUUAGUUAAAAAAAACUUUUGCCACCCGAUUCAAAUGUUUCUAUCACCCAUGGUCCCGGAUCCGGAAAAAAAUAUUCGGUGCACUAAUAGAGUAGAGUGGGGCAAGAGUGCGCGUGGGGUAA